GGGGCAGGCGAUCCCAAAGUCCUCGCGGCCGCCAGGCACGAGGCCCCGCUGCCGUGCCCCCGCCCCCGGGCUCGGCUCUUCGCCCCGCGAGCUCCCCGGGAAGACGGCUGCGGAGACCCGAACUCGGAACCGAGGGGAAAGGCUUGAGGGAGGCACUCUGAGCCCUGCCUCGGCCGGAGUCUUGGGGGGCCGACCCUCUCCGUCCCCCUCUUCCCACUCCUGGGCCACGAGUUUGAGCCUAACCGGGUUAAGUGCCCAGGGACGGCGGACCUGGGGUCCUCCAGUCCAAGGUCGAGGGAGGACUGCACGGCGGCGGGGCCAGCCUCCUCUGGGCCUACUGUUAGAGGAGUCACGACUUCGUCUGCAUUUGUAUAGACAGGUGGAUAUAUGAGCAGAAGUAACCCACCUCCUUUUAAUAUUUUUAGCUUUUUUUUUUUUUUUUUUAAACACCAACCGCUUGCCAGGCACCAGGCCAGUCACUUUAUAUUAUCUCCUCCUUAUGUACAUGAUUUGAUCCAUAUAAUCCUGUCAGGCUGACAUUAUUAAUCCCAUUUUACAGAUAAGGAAACUGAGGCGCACAACGUUUAAAUAAUUUGCCCAAAGUUCCGCAACCAGCAGACCUCAGAUCCUGCAAGAGACUGGGGUGUUUGGCAGAACCUGAAUCCAAGCUACUUGAAAUAUACCAGCCGGAGCCUCUCCCUCCCUGGGCCCUAGAAAACGUUUGUGCUACUUGGCUGAGGCCGAUGCUGCUUGAGCUGAGAAAGAAAAGAAGGAAAAUGUGGCCAAGAGCUUCCCAGGCUGGGUUAUUCCAAGGUUGCAGAGCAGCCUGUGCCCAUCUCUUCUCGCUUCCUGUGAGAUAAACUGGCUGCACAGGAUCUGCCUGUGGCCUCCUGAACACAGGUUCCCGGGUAAUGGAAAGAAAAAAAAAUCCACUGAGUGUUUUCUGUGAGCCAGGCACCAUUGAGAACUCUUUUCUUGUGUCAACCCCUUCUGUCCUCACCACAUGCCCCAUGAGGUACGAUUCGGGCACCUUUAGAAACACUGCAAAAACUGGAAACUGGAGGAACAAUGCUGGGUCCUCAAAGUUGAGCUGGAAGGUAAGUCCAGUUGGCCUUGUCCCAAAGUGGGGACUUCCCCUCCACCAAGGAACUAAGACUUGUAGGGGCCACACUGGGUAGUGCCAGCCACAGUUGGGAGAACAAUACUCCAGCAGUCAGACUGAGGCAGGAAGUGAGUCACGCUUCUUCCUUAGGCUGUGAGCAAGAGAACUCCAUUGAGGGGAAACAGGGACAGGGCUGGCCCCACCUAUCUUCCCACUUGUCCUCAGGCCUAGAAGAAAGGUCAGCCCAAAAAAAAGCAAUACUUGCUGCUUCAGGUGCCCCACCCAUCCUGGAGGCUGGCCCCAGGGGAGCCCGAAGUGGGUCUUUGGAGGGGGAGGGGCUAGCCUAGGCUCAGAUGGCUGCCACCCAGGCAGAGGCGGUGGGAAGUGGAGCUUCCCAGUUUCUCCCAGCCAGCUUGCCUCUUCAAUCCUGACUUUGGCAUAAGGCAAAAUUCUUUAAACUGGGUUCUCAGAGGUGCAACCCUCAGAGGGAGGAAUGAGGACAGGAUUGAGCAGGUGAGCACCUCUCUCUGCUUCAACCAGAGUGUCUCAUAUUUUAGGGUUUCACAUGAGAUUGUAUUUUACAACAAUUCUGCUGCUAAAAAGAAUUUGAAAGCCACUCUCUGUGAGACCUCUCUGGAAAAAAUCCCAUUUGACCACAACUGGUGACUUCUGCCUUUAUCUCAUUGCAACAAGUCCUGUGGGCAGGUAUUGUUCUCUUUAUCACUCCCAACUGGCCCUGGAGCCCAGGUCUCCUGACUUGGGGCCCUCGGGGCCCAAGGUCCUCGGGAUCCCACCUUAUCAGUUUUACACAACAGUUAGCAGGACUUGAGCACGUGACAGAAGUCUGGAGAUGAGUGGGAGAAGCAGGGCCUGAUGGGUAAGUGGGGGCUGCAAAGGGGCUCCCAUUUUCCCAGCAGGGCUCUGGGAGGAAGAGUUCAGCCAGGCCUCUCUUUAUCCUUGAUUUGGGGCUAAUCCAGGGAGGCUCCUGAGAGUAACAUAGUCCUAAAUCCACCCAGUCAUCCUGACUCCAAGUGCUUCUGUUGUCUUCUUGGGGUGCUCUGGGAGUCCUCAGUGAAAUCUCUGGCCCACCUCAGGCACAGCAAAUAAAGCCUCCGGCAGCAGCACCCACACCUAGUUUUAAGCAGAAAGUCUACACAAUAUCCAGACUUGCAUAGAAGGAUGCCCAACAAAAUUCCAUUGGUGUUCUCUCCGAGUGAAAGGGUCACAUUUGCGAUCUUUGUUUUCUUCUUUUUGCUUACCUGCAUUUUUCAGGAAUGUCUACAAGAACUCCUAAAAUAAUUAAACCUUUAAGUCAAUGCGAAAUCGAAUAAAGCGUGUCCAUACUUCACCAUCCAGCUCCAGAACACCUGGGAUUCAUCCUGGCCGCUGCUGCUUCCCCACCACAGGCUGCAGCUGCAACAGUCAGGCUCCUAUCCCUUCACAGGGCAGGGCUCUUCCAGUUCUGGCUAAACCACUUUGGGAAAACCUUCUUUAUAUGACAGGCAAAUAAGGUGUGUGUGGGUGGGGGGAGGAGCUAAAAGUGAUGUGGUGGUGACAUAUCUGGUCGCGCUGGGACUGGAUCCUAACAUGGCCAGCCCUUCUCAUUUUCCUCACGUACUGGGGUGGAUCUGCACUUACCUUCUGCCUAGCUUUGCUGCAUCCCAGCCACUGGCUAACUUAAUGGCUUCCUUCCACCAGCUCCAGCUCCUUGUCUUCUGCCUUGCCUUCCAUGGCCAGCAAGUGCUGCCACAUUAUGUACCUAAUAAAUGCUUUGGGUGCAGUCUCA